rnacentral:rRNA from 1 species
AUCGCAACGAUGCGACCCCAGGACAGAUGAGGUCCCUAUGGU